rnacentral:rRNA from 1 species
CCUACGUGCGGCAGCAGUGGGGAAUAUUGGACAAUGGGCGAAAGCCUGAUCCAGCCAUGCCGCGUGUGUGAAGAAGGCCUUCGGGUUGUAAAGCACUUUCAGUGGGGAAGAAAGCCUUGGGGCUAAUACCCUCGAGGAAGGACAUCACCCACAGAAGAAGCACCGGCUAACUCCGUGCCAGCAGCCGCGGUAAUACGGAGGGUGCGAGCGUUAAUCGGAAUUACUGGGCGUAAAGCGCGCGUAGGCGGUCUGAUAAGCCGGUUGUGAAAGCCCCGGGCUCAACCUGGGAACGGCAUCCGGAACUGUCAGGCUAGAGUGCAGGAGAGGAAGGUAGAAUUCCCGGUGUAGCGGUGAAAUGCGUAGAGAUCGGGAGGAAUACCAGUGGCGAAGGCGGCCUUCUGGACUGACACUGACGCUGAGGUGCGAAAGCGUGGGUAGCAAACAGGAUUAGAUACCCGAGUAGUC